rnacentral:rRNA from 1 species
CGGUAAUUCCAGCUCCAAUAGCGUAUAUUAAAGUUGUUGCGGUUAAAAAGCUCGUAGUUGGAUUUCUGUUGAGGACGACCGGUCCGCCCUCUGGGUGAGUAUCUGGCUCGGCCUCGGCAUCUUCUUGGAGAACGUAGCUGCACUUGACUGUGUGGUGCGGUAUCCAGGACUUUUACUUUGAGGAAAUUAGAGUGUUUCAAGCAGGCACACGCCUUGAAUACAUUAGCAUGGAAUAAUAAGAUAGGACCUCGGUUCUAUUUUGUUGGUUUCUAGAGCUGAGGUAAUGAUUAAUAGGGAUAGUUGGGGGCAUUCGUAUUUAACUGUCAGAGGUGAAAUUCUUGGAUUUGUUAAAGACAAACAGCUGCGAAAGCGUUCCGCAAGGAUGUUCCCUUUGAUCAAGAACGAAAGUUGGGGGAUCGAAGACGAUCAGAUACCGUCGUAGUCUCAACUAUAAACUAUACCAGCUAGGGAUCGGCCAACGUUUAAUUAUUCGACUUGGUCGGCACCUUAUGAGAAAUCAAAGCAUCUGGGUUCCGGGGGGAGUAUGGUCGCAAGGCUGAAACUUAAAGGAAUUGACGGAAGGGCACCACCAGGCGUGGAGCCUGUGGCUUAAUUUGACUCAACACGGGAAAACUUACCAGGUCCAGACAUAGGAAGGAUUGACAGAUUGAUAGCUCUUUCUUGAUUCUGUGGGUGGUGGUGCAUGGCCGUUUUUAGUCGGUGAAGUGAUUUGUCUGCUUAAUUGCGUUAACGGACGAGACCCCAGCCUGCUAAAUAGCGCGGCCGAGCUUUGCUCGGUGCGAGCUUCUUAGAGGGACCAUGAUGCGCGAUAGCACAAGGAAGUUUGGGGCAACAACAGGUCUGUGAUGCCCUUAGAUGUUCUGGGCCGCACACGGGCUACACUGGCGCCUGCAACGAGCAUAUCAGCUGGCCCGAGAGGGUCUUGGCUAAUCUUUGGAACCGGCGCCGUGCUUGGGAUUGACCAUUGCAAUUGUUGGUCAUGCAACGAGGAAUGCCUUGUAAACGCGAGUCAUCAGCUCGCAUUGAAUACGUCCCUGCCCUUUGUACACACCGCCCGUCGCUCCUACCGAUGAAUGUUCCGAUGAAAUUUUCGGAGAGCGCCGGAGAACGGGGCUCUGCCCUGCAGAACUGGAGGCUCAAAGUCACUUAAAUCUGAACAUUUCGAGGAAGGAGAAGUCGUAACAAGGUAACC